GCUGAACAAUAUUUUCUUUUUCAUAAACUGGUCCCUGGGAUUUUGAACUUCAAAUACCCACCCUUCUUAAUCUCUGAAAAUGAAGUGCAAUUAAGCGUUGCUGUUGUUAACUUCACAGGUUCCUUCUUUCCUCUCUCCAGGAUUUAAUUAAACCAGAGGAAAGUUGAGGCUUUGGCACUAAUGAAUCACCUGCUUAAAACCCCCAGUUCUCAUCCAUAGCGCAGAUCCAAAAUAGAGACGGGGUGGAGCCGAGUGUUGUUUACCCUGAUGAAUUCCCCUUCCUUUUAUUGGGGAAAACACAUGAUGGGGAGGCUGACUCCUCUGUUGAAGCUCUGUGGGAACCAUGUGGGUGGCCUCUUCCAUUUCAUGGGCUCCCGUCCCAAAACCUCCAGCGAUGUCCUUGUUAGAAUUGUUCUAGAAAGAUAGGCGAUAAUGACCAUGAAUUUAGAAAACUAUGGUGGUGGUAUGUUUUAAUGGAAAGCUGCGAAACUCCACUUCCUGGCCCCCUCUGGCUUUUAAGGGCUCCCAUGGUUGUGGGUCUGAAACUGAGCCGAUGGCUGAGCCCAGCCUUCUCGGUCCAAAGCUCAGGCUGUCCUUUCCCACCAUUUCCCUUUCUUGCCUCCUUGAUCCGGGGUUCAAGACAAUUCAUAAAGGCUCCCCCUGUCUUUUUCAUGGCGACUUAGCACAGCUGCUUUCCACUUUCUGUUCCUAAAAGGCGGAGGGGGGGGGAACACCCCAUUGCUGGGCAAAUGUUUAAGGCCAUUCUUGUCUGGUGAAGUCAUCGCUGGUGGCUUUUCCUGUAAUAAGAGGCCUUGCAAAUAAAUAAAUGAAAGGGAAGCUUUUAUCCCAGGGAAGGGAAGGGGGGUGUCAGCCAGUCCUCCAGCACAGCUGCCUCCAGAGAGGGAAACCUCCCCCUUUAGCUUUAGUCUGGGUUAGUAUUUCCACAUGGGGUUCAUUAUUCCUUGCCUCUUCUCUCCCCCCCUAAAAUUUUAAUCCAGCAUUUGAUUGAAAGUCUUCCCUGUUUGACGGUCUGCUUUCUUUCUUUCUGAUAAGCAGAAGUCAAAAGCAGAAAUAAGACCUGUGUCAGCCAGCUGUUCGGGGAACUGGCCUUCCAGAUCUAGCAGACUCCAUUGUCAAAUAAUGGGAGUUUUCUGUCUGAAGUUCCUCUCCAAGAGCCAUUCAGAAGGAGCCGUUUCAAUUCAUUGGGGGGUUUCUUUGCCAGUUCCUCCUUUGCUCUUCUUCUCUGCAAUAUCCCUUUUAGCAUCUCACAGCCUGCUUCCUCAGCUUCACAAAGGCUAGUUGCACAACACACAAAUCCUCACUGACCAGCCACAAGUGCCUUCCCCUAAUAUUCCAAGUCACAAACGGCACAUGGGGUGAAGCACCCCAAAGGUUCAGAGGGCCAGGCCCCAAAAGAUACAACCUGCCAUGAUUUUGUAGUUUUUUUCUGAUCUUCCAGCAACUUUUGGACUGGUGACACCCUUUUCUUCACCUUCUGGGGUAGAGUUAAAGAAAAUAGUUGGAUUUUUCUACUUCUGCCUGGCUCCUGGCUGAAAGUUGCCAGCAGCAUCCAGAUGUUUUGUAGGACAAAAGUUAUUGGGGGGGGGUGUUCCUUUCCAGGAAGCGAUUAGCAAGCAAUCUCCCCGUGUGACUUUUAAGCCUUUUUCCAAAUAGCGAAGAGAUGGGAUGGGACUUCCAGCUAUCCUUGCGUCCUUAGAAAGAAGAACUAUUCAUUGAGUAACCAUCAAAGUCUUUCAAAGGAAAAACACAGCCCAGAAAGACUGACUGAGGCUUUGAAGGUUUCCAAAAGGGUCUCUGGGCAGACAGCAUUGUACAGCCCUGAACUCCUCCUUCAAUCCUGUCUAAGGUCUCAAAAGAGACGCUGCUUUCCUGGGUGGCUGUGAAAUCUGUUUUUGUGUGUAUAAUUAACAGGCAGACUUGCUGGGAGGUUGGGAAAUGAACCUGGGCUGUUUUCUUGGAGUUGUGUUGCUGCUUUUCCAGUGACCGGGCCUUCCAUUAGCGCCCCACCCACCCAACCUUACUUCAAUAUGGCCAGAUCCUGACAGCCUCCUUUGGGUUUUUAAAAAUCUCUUCCUCCUUGGAAAUCCGCACAUCUGUUUAAAGAUGCUCCUGAGAGCAACCCACUUUUCCUUUUUUCUUGGACAAACCUGGGAUCUCCUUGUCGCCAGAUUUUUCAGCCAAGCGAUCACAUGCGGGUGCAAGAUCACCAGGGAGAUAUCCAUGGAAAACGAUGGAUCCAAUUAAGGAAAUGGAAGAGCGGAAUCUAUUCUCUGUUAAGCCAUAAUUGUCUGGGUGUACACAGCACACGGAGCGAUAAAAACAGCCUUAUCAGCCACAGUGGGCAAUUCUUGUGACCUUGCCCUGUGUUCCUUCCACAUAUUCCCAAUAUAAUGUCAUAAAUUCAUUAAACUUUUCACAGUUGCCCAGGGGCAAAGUGCCACCGAGUGAGCCCAGUUCACUGCCUUUAUCACCAGAUGCGAUAUUUGACCAUAUCUGAACUUUGCUGGGAACCGAAACUCUCUUCUCCCUUGGUCCCUCCCAAACAUAGCUUGCAAAAAUGCCAAGUUUUGGAUUCGUUCCCUGCUAUGAGAGAAAUAAAACUUAUUAUGGUUGUUGUUUUAGCGUUUCUUCCCACGGAAAAAGGUUUUUCUUCCUUAAGCAAAUGGAUUCUUCCUAAUCUGAGAAUGCCCUGAAGAAUUUGCAGUUAUUCAGGGUUAAAGUCCUUGCUGAACAGGCAGUCUUUUGUCUGGAUGUUUUCUUCUUUCUAUUUUGCUUUAACGUCUUUUUCCCCCUUCUUCUUUGAAAUUGGAGACGGGGAAAAUGCAGUGCAGGCCACAAAGUGCUGAUAGGGUUAUCUAGGCACCUUGUCCUUGAAUCGCUGAAGCAAAAUGAUAGCCCCACAAUUUCCUUCUUGUGUAUUGCCCUUUAGUGCGAAAAAUCUGAAAAACCUCCAUGAAGCUCUUACAAGGAGAGAGGAUUUUCUCCACAAAGAUGAGGGCGGGGGAAAAAAAUAGCCAUUUUGGAUCACAUUUUUGCCACUGGGCCUGUUCGGAAGGGACAUUUGUCUGAAUUUCUAAGAAAUGGAGUCCCAACACAACCAGAUUUUGAGAAAAACAUCUCGCUAGAAUGAAACACUGAAGGAUCAAAUUGGGACUGUUAAAAAAACACAUCAUUCCACAACUGUGCAUUAAAUCCCUUUUAAUUCACUGAAGGUUGUUUGUGCCAGGCGGGGCCCCAACUUAGACCUCUGUAGAGAAAGCCUGAGAAACUUAAGGAGAGUUUAGUUGGGCACGACUAAUUAAAUACUAGGAUCAAUGGCUGGCAGUUGUGAUAUUUUAAUAGGCUCCAAGUUGAUACUCACGAACUGAAAGAAUUUCUUAACACAAUAGGGCCCUUUCCUCAUCUCUGCCCAUCCUUUUCAUGUCUCCCACCUAGUGGGAGUUUGCAAAAUAAUAAUUAGGACGGCAAUGUGGAAGGCAGAUAGUAAUUUACAAAACCCUGCAAGCGUCCUAGGGAUUGUACCAAAUACGUCAGCCUGACAGAGAAGCCACCUUUCUCCUACAGGCCGGCUGUCAGGAUCGAACUUGUUUUGCAGACUUGAGCGAUACCAAAAAAAACAAAACAAAAAACGUGCUGCCAUUCGUGGUCUUUGUACCCCAGGGGUUUAACAAAACGUUGCUCCUUCCGAAAUUUGGACGGUUAUUUUUCAGAGAAUGAAUUAAGCCUCAGCCUUUCCUUGAAUUUACAGGAAUUAGAAGAACAUCUUUUUCUUAGAAGUUUUUAAGCAACACAGGAAGACAACACGACGUUUCAUUUCGGGGAACCGUCUCAAAGAAGCUUAUCAGCCAGACCCAGGAGGCCCCUACUAGGAAGAGAGGAGAGGAGAGGAAAGAGGGCCCAGCCAGAUUGUGGGCACCAUGACGCUGCAGGAAACUCACAAACGGCUCAAGAUGGCAGCAGUUCGGUGUGCUCAAAAGUAUUAAUGGGCACAGGUGCCAUCGUUCCUUGCCAACAGGCUGAGGCCGGAAGGAGCCGAGCGCUCCAAAAAGGCCCUCUUAUUUCCUGUGACUCAGGAAAUGCAAAGCUUCAAAAGUUCCGAGCUUCGCUGUGCUUCCUACCCCCCGAGUGGGUUUCUUUCUCGGUUUCAUGCGAGUUUCUUCUCCGCUUUUGCUCCUUAAUUGCAAAGAUGACGCGUUGGGAGAAAGAGGAACAAAACAGACCACAGCUAGGAUCACACAAUUGUGAGCUUGCAGAGUUGCUGAGGGUCAUCUUAGAAGUUGCCAAGUCUGAAAACAAUCGAUGAGUCUUGGUCUGGAUGUCCUUGCUCCUUUCUGUGGCAGCCCGAGAGAGAAAUGCAGUGGGGUGGCCCGGCCUGAUGCCAGCCAGUAAAAAUUCAAUCUAAGGCGAAAAGAUGCCCUUGAAUCGAACAAUUGUGCCAGGAGAGAAGUGGUUUGCGCUGGCUUCACCCGAGACCUGUUUUCAGUCUACAAGCUGUGAAUGGAACUGAAAAUACAGCUGUGGGGUGUCGUACACAAAUUAAGCACUUGGCUGCAAUAAAAGCUGUGCCUUGCUGCAAUGUUGACCUGGGUUCUUAGCACAGGCUGGUUGUGCCUGUGUGUGUGUAGGUGUAACAUUUGCCUACCUGGCCCAUUUAGGCAUAAAUGCCCCUCUCCCCCAAUGAUGUCCCCUUCCUCUGCACGUAGGCAGAAGGACCCCUUCCCACUUAUGACCACGUGAGGACUAGAAUGCAACCUAUGUGAGCCUGGAGAUUAAUUGGGAGUGAGGGUCCUGCAAGAGUUGCUUUCCCUCCCCCCUCAGCCAAGGACCCUCAUUUCCCCUGGGGAGGGGGAUUUAUUUGCUCUCUGCAGGGACCCUCCUCUUAACAUGGGUUUGUUCUCUGCCUGCGUUCCUCGUCUCUAAACUUUGCAAAGUUUACAGAGCAGUAAUGCCUCUAGUGCCUGUGUGUUUAUGUGUGUGUGUGUGUGUGUGUGGUUGUGUGUACUUUAUAUCCUGUUCUCCAGAAAAGAAACUUAAGACAAACUUCCUCCACCAAGGAGGCGUGGCUGAUUUGAGACCCACGGGGCCGAUUAUUAUUUUGAAAUCGAUUUAUCCUGUGUCACUCAUGCCUUCGGUUGGAUUGCUGAUCCUACGGGAUUCUCAUUGGGUGAUUUGUAUUUGUAAAUACCACCAAAAAUAACUUCAAUUUAGACUGGUAUGGUGCACAGACUGAGGCUGUUUUCGUUAGCAGAUUUUUAUUGCGGCAUGUGGGCGAAAGUGGGUUAUUUCUGGUGCCAACAUCAUCUCCUCUCUAUUUGAUCUGUUAUAAUCAGUUUCUAUAGUCUGCAAAGUCAGGUAGGAAUUGAAAUAACCAUUCUGGGCCUAAAUGCCCCAAUAUUACCCUCUCUUAUUUCCUGCACCAUUUUGUCUUUUUCAGUUUCUUCCUUAAAUCUCGUCCCGUCUCCCUUUCCCUCCCUGAUUCACAAGGCUUGUGCGGGACUUAGAAGUCUCAUGCUUAAGCUGGCACAAACACCACCUGCUCUCUGGGCCAAUGAGGAAUGAUUCAUUGCCCCGCAGAACAAUCUGUUUCCUCCAUGCACAAAUAUUUGGGUUUGCUGUUGGCAAUGGGAGGGAAACUCCUUCCUUCCUUUUCAAAAAACACGAGAGGAUCUCGGGAUGCCUGUUUGUUUCUGUGGCCUUCAAGCAGCGGUAAUAUAACCGAAAUGUGGUUGUUGAGUGGGAAAAAAAAGAAAAAAAGCUGGAUUUAGAAUGGGGAGUCCCUGCCCCGGAUAAUCCUUCCCCGGGUACUGACUCAACCAUAGCUUCAUCUAGCAAUUUGUCACCCCAGAGGUUGGCAAAGCAGUCGGUUCAGCCAGGUAUGGAGAAGUGGGCUUAAGCACGCCUGGGUACACCUGCCGUCCUCGUCCCCUCCUUCUCCUCUCCCUCUCUGUCUCUCUCUGUAUGUGUGUUCUUCAACUCUCAUCCCCAGCAUGCUCAGCCAGGGUACAAGGGAGCCAGCAAAGAGGACGGAUGGGGCAUCCUGUGUCCAAAGGGUGGAUGGUCCAGGACAAAUUUAGGAUCCAGAACAAAUUUAGGCAAUAAAUUGGAGGUUGCAACUGAAGCCAACUUUUGUACAGCCACCAUGGGUCUUUCCUUGCUGCACGCUCAGUUGUUUGUUGUACCCAGGCCUCUGUAUUUUUUCUCUCUCAGUGGUGCGCAAGGAACCCAGCCAUUGGUGGCUUGUUCUACAAACCCUAGUUAAGCCAGGAUUUGGUGCCUAAACCAACAAACCGCAGAUUCCUGCUUGGACGUGCAGUAGACGGCUUUAAAGGAGCUCCUUGGAAGGGUUUGCUGAGGGCCUCCGGAAUUAGAAAUCGGGAGGCAAAACCUGCCUCUGACACAAUCAAAGUGCCCUUAAAGGACCCAUCUUGGGCGACUCCUAUUUUUGAGGGGUCUCUCCUGGUUUUCAAGAGGCACGAUCCUGUGUGGGGUCCCUCUGAGAGGAGAUGCUUUUCCAAGGCUGCCUCUGAUCCGAGGUUGGAUUCCAGUCUCCCCCCCACGCUGAACUAUCGCGGUGCAACUUCAGAUGCUCCGUGACGAGGAAGCUCAGGAAGUCGCUGUGGGCAAGAUACGGAUUUUCUGCGAAACGCUUCUGCUGCAUCCGGCCCUGUUGCUGGGCAGAAAAUCCAGGCAGCCGGCCGAGCGAAGCAGCUCGGCCAAGGAGCUCCUUCCCCUUUGGAUUUUUCCACAGGAGGUGGUUUUUUUUUGGGGGGGGGGGGCUUGCUGUGACUCAUGAGCAUGAGGACUAGGAAACUCAGCUGGCCUUGUAAAAACCAUAACUGUCUCCCUUUUGUUUUGACCUUGCCUUAAAAGUACGCCACUGACACCAUUCCUACAUUUCUAACAGACUUUUAAAUCUGCAAGCAAUUCUGAAGGCAGGAAGCACAAGAGUCUCUUGUCCUGUGCUGAAGGCUCCUUCUUUCUUCCCCUCCCUCCUUCCCUCUUCCCCUUUAAUCCUUCCUUCCUUCCUUCCUUCCUUCCUUCCUUCCUUCCUUCCUUCCUUCCUUCCUUCCGAAUCCCACUCAAUUCUGCUUCGUUUGGCCUUCACCCUUAUUUCAGUCGCAGGGCUUAGAAAAGGGCUACCAUGUUGGUAGUCCGGUGGAUUUUAUCCCGUCUUUCCAAGCGAAGAAGGAGGGAUGGCCAAGGCCAAGAGACAGGAAAGCCGUUUCCCUUGAACCCUGCUUGCGUUGUUUUCCUGUGGAGGUGGGGGUGGGGUGGGAUUCCAGUCGAAGAAAAUUCUGGACAUUAAAUGUUCUCUGAGCCUGACUGCCACAGUGCCCUGUCUGUGGGGCUUUCCUUGAUGACUCUGCUUGAGUAAAAAAUAGGUUGGAGUUUAUAACCUCCAGCCAGGAAGUGCUGUCUGGACAAAUACAUAAAAAUGGGGGGGGGGGUUUUGCAACUGGCUACCUUCAUUCAAGAGUCAGCAUUUGUCCAAAAUCCACUUCCUUUUGGCAAGCUUUGCUUCUCCCCCAGCUGUCUGCGCCUCUUUUUGGCGUGAAAUGAGGAAAGAAGCGAGAGGGCCAGUUUCAGCCGGAAGGAACCCAAAUCGGAUGUGAAGCAGGAAGCGUUUUGGAAAGAGGAGCCCAGAAGCACCUUCGGGCUCUCCUUGGCCUGGCAGCCACCCUUCAAUGGAGGCCCAUGGGGCUUGCCCUGAAUCUUUCUCAGGCCCAGGCCGUGGGUGGGGAAUGCCCCGGCCCUCCUGGGGAAUGGGAAGAACAAAAGUUGGUAUUUGCUUUCCUGGUUCCUCCCAGGAGGACUUUGGAUUGGCUAAUGUAAGGCAGAGAUUGAGAGAGGGGAUUUGAGUCUUUAGCCCCCCACCUUCCCAAGAAUCUAGAGAAAGGCAGACUCAUCUUUGGGAGAGUCUCCCCUUUCACCCAAUAAGGAUCAAGUUUCUAGCUCCCAUUGUCCGAAGGAUAUCUUUGGUGCCACUCCCACUCCCUUUUUUUUAUUAAAAAAACAAAAACCGCAUAGUGUUGUUCUCUGGCACGGCCGUCUGGGCAACCUUGAGGCACAAGGAUCCCCGAGUCAUUCAGAGCUGGAAACGAUACGUUCUCGGCCACACACACGGUGCUGUGGGGACCCGGAAGUCCUCCCUUCCAGCGGACCUUGCGCUGCACAAGGACUCUGCAAAGCCCACAACCCAGCAGGCUGGGCCUGCUAAUUUGACAGAAAGGCUCCAUGCUGGUUUGCACGCUCGCCCCAGCCAGCCCUGUUUGAUCUGGCCACUUUCAAAAGCAUGGAAUCGAGUUCGUUCUCCUUUCAGUCUUGCACAAUCACAGCUGGUGUGUGUGUAUAAGGUUGCGAUGCCUGGAUUUAGCAGCAUGGAGGAGGAGCUAAGGUUCCUUUUAAAUCUCUGCUGAAUGCACAGUCAUGAGGACUAGGAUCUUGACGCUGAGGGGUUUGUGUGAAGGCUCUCCACUUUGAAGAGGACGGGAUUGGAAGGAAGCUGAGAAUUUUUUAAAAAUAAACACCUUAAUUGUUUUACAAUCUAUGGUCUCAGGCCAUUUGUAGGCCUCUUUCUUUCCACUUGGGCCUCACUCUGCUCACCCUCGUCAGAAUAUCGCCGUGUCCUUGGAGAUCUCCCGGAUUCAGGAAGGAAUCCACCUUUUCUGGCAGAUCCAUGAGAACUUGGAGCCAUCCCAAGCCAGCCUGGUGAAAACCUCACUCAAGCCUGCCCAAACGAGAUCUUCGAUUGGUGCCAAAGUGGCAUCUUCUCCCCUUAAAAAUCCCCUUCUGGGGAAGUUGCCCAGCUCUGAACUGGAAAAGAAAAAUAUUCAGCAACAGUCCAAAAGUAAGCGUUGGGGUCCCGUAUGGCUGGAGAAGCAUUACAGUUUUGGAAAUGAUGCCUUGUGAGCUGCACUAAAUGAUCCUGUUCAGGACUUGGCUAAAUCAGGUUUAGACACCCGCUCCUGGUUAGCAGAUUCCCCCCACCUUCUCUGUAUGUCUGGUGGAGCUCAUUCCUAGCAUUUUUCUCCGCUUGGUUGUUAGCAAGGCAACUUAAAAAAAGCCUCAUUGUUCUUGCAGAACCUGGGUGAUUCACACACGUUGUACUCAAAGGGGGGUUAGUCAGGCCUCAGUCAUCUUCCUUCCUGAAGGAACUCGUGGG